rnacentral:rRNA from 1 species
UACAGAGGUCUCAAGCGUUGUUCGGAUUCAUUGGGCGUAAAGGGUGCGUAGGUGGCGCCGUAAGUCAGGUGUGAAAUUUCGGAGCUUAACUCCGAAACUGCAUUUGAUACUGCGGUGCUUGAGGACUGGAGAGGAGACUGGAAUUUACGGUGUAGCAGUGAAAUGCGUAGAGAUCGUAAGGAAGACCAGUGGCGAAGGCGGGUCUCUGGACAGUUCCUGACACUGAGGCACGGAGGCCAGGGGAGCAAACGGG